rnacentral:rRNA from 1 species
UACGUAGGCAGCGAGCGUUGUUCGGAAUUACUGGGCGUAAAGAGUGUGUAGGCGGUGCUCUAAGUUCGGUGUGAAAUCUCCCGGCUUAACUGGGAGGGUGCGCCGGAAACUGGAGUGCUCGAGCGUGGGAGAGGAAAGCGGAACUCCUGGUGUAGCGGUGAAAUGCGUAGAUAUCAGGAGGAACACCUGCGGUGUAGACGGCUUUCUGGACCAUUGCUGACGCUGAGACACGAAAGCGUGGGCAGCAAACAGG